UGGGAACGUACCUUUUGGUUCGGAACAACCCAGGGAAACUUGGGCUAAUACCGGAUAAGUCCGUAAGGAGAAAGACUUAUCGCCAAAGGAUCGGCCCGCGUCUGAUUAGCUAGUUGGUAGGGUAAUGGCCUACCAAGGCUACGAUCAGUAGCUGGUCUGAGAGGAUGAUCAGCCACAUUGGGACUGAGACACGGCCCAAACUCCUACGGGAGGCAG
rnacentral:rRNA from 1 species